CUUGGGAUGUUGGGCUCCCUCAGAAGUGGAAGAUAGAGACAUGUGGAGAACGGCCAUAGAGCAAGGAAGUUAUAUCAGAGAGGCGGAAUUGGACUGGGAGGCCGCAAGCGUAUCUCUCUGUUGAAGGUGGAUCUCGGUAUUGAAGUGGGAGAGGAUGAUGUAGAGGACCUCCUUGAUGAUCCGCUGAUAUAGUCAAAGACUUGGCUCAGGCCAUCCUACAACUUGGCCAGUCUGUUGAUUCCAAGUAUCUACAGCAGCCGCUAGGCGAGACUGAUAAGGCACGGAAGGUGAGAGAA